rnacentral:rRNA from 1 species
AGUGAGCGCUGGCGGUAGGCCUAACACAUGCAAGUCGAACGGCAGCACAGUAAGAGCUUGCUCUUACGGGUGGCGAGUGGCGGACGGGUGAGGAAUACAUCGGAAUCUACUUUUUCGUGGGGGAUAACGUAGGGAAACUUACGCUAAUACCGCAUACGACCUACGGGUGAAAGCAGGGGAUCUUCGGACCUUGCGCGAUUGAAUGAGCCGAUGUCGGAUUAGCUAGUUGGCGGGGUAAAGGCCCACCAAGGCGACGAUCCGUAGCUGGUCUGAGAGGAUGAUCAGCCACACUGGAACUGGGACACGGUCCAGACUCCUACGGGAGGCAGCAGUGGGGAAUAUUGGACAAUGGGCGCAAGCCUGAUCCAGCCAUACCGCGUGGGUGAAGAAGGCCUUCGGGUUGUAAAGCCCUUUUGUUGGGAAAGAAAAGCAGCAGGUUAAUACCCCGCUGUUCUGACGGUACCCAAAGAAUAAGCACCGGCUAACUUCGUG